rnacentral:lncRNA from 1 species
GCUACAAGCAGUAUCCAAGUCAGUUCAGUCCAUGCAAGGAAACAAAGGUAGAGGCUAUGACUUCAUGUUCUUCACUGUCCAGAUGUAAAAGCAGGUACGUCUACAACAGACUAUAAGUGCUCAGUCUACGUACAGACUUGGAAUCAGCCUUGUGGUAUGGGACAGGAGAAAAAAAAAAACUAUUCAUUAUUUGUAAAAAUUCUUACUUAAAAUAAUUGUGACAUUUUCUGUUAAAGCCAAUGAUUUGCCUUUUCACAGUAUCACAGUAUCACAGUCUCGUGCGGGUUGGAAGGGACCUUAGAGAUCAUCGAGUCCAGCCCCCAGGAUUCGAGCCUCCUGUGUAGCAGAGCGGCACUUCUACCACUGGCGCCACAGGGGGGAUUUGAAUCCGAGCCCUCCGGUGUUGCAAUGCGGCAUUCCUACCACUGCGCCACCAGGUUUUGUUUUGUUUUGUUUUGUUUAUUCCCAAGGGCAUCAAGAAAAGGCAAGUGGUCCAGAGAGUUCAGCCGGCCUAUCCAAUGAGUGAUGACAUUUAGCAAGCUCUUUCUGGAUGAAAAACUAAAACCCCACGUCUGUAAGGUGCCUCACAUUGUCAGGCUUCUCCCGGGACCAGGAAAAGGAAUGGACAUAUUAGAAGAAUCAGACAGCUGUGAGUACAGAAUCUAUUGUAUAGUUAGAAUCAAAUUAUUAUGGGUCUGAUUCUGUCACAUGCUCAGAAUCUACAGGUUUUACUUAUCAGGAAUCAAGAGCCCCCUGCAUCCCACAGAUACAGGCUGUAGCAAAAUAUGAAUUAAUCCAGGCUGUUGCUAUCA